CCAAGCAUUGGCACAAGAGGGCAGAUCUAGCCACACCUGUGUCAAGUGAGCAGCCUCAGUGAGCCCAGGCACUGGCUUAGAUACAGGCCAGCACAUGUGGCACACAUUUAAGGACACAGCCUAGUGGCAGUGACUUAGCUGGAGGUGUUCAGACCAAGGGGUGCUUGCUUAAUGACUUUGUUCUCCUCUGCCCAGACCACUGCAAGAAGUCCUGUGCACUUCCUCCUAUCCCAAAGACUCGACUGUGCCCUUGAGUCCUAGCUGGCCCUUCUUAGCCUCAAGUCCUCCACCGGGCCUGCCAUAGAGGAGACAUGUACCACAUGGAAGGAAGACUGUAUAUCCCCUCCUCAGCCUACCCUCAUUCCUCAAGCUGCUUCUUGCACCCCACAUUACUGGCUGCUCCCUCAUGCUCCACUUCUGAUGUGUCUGCGCUGACAGCCCCAAGAGCUAGGAACACAUGCAGGCAGCGUCUUCCUUGAGGGUGUGUGGCCACUAGAUCCCAGGAGGCCUGGCUGCCCCAGAUUUGCCACCUACAGAAAACUUUGUCAUCAGGGACAUUGUCAAGAGCUGGACAAGAAACCACCAGAGAGGGACUGCCAGCUGCAGGCCACUCUGCCACUCACCCCUUCUUGUCACAUGGAGAUGGAGAUCC
rnacentral:lncRNA from 1 species